rnacentral:rRNA from 1 species
GCCCUUACACAUGCAAGUCGAGCGAGAAAGUUUCUUCGGAAGCGAGUAAAGCGGCGGACGGGUGAGUAACGCGUAGGAAUCUACCAUUCAGUGGGGGAUAGCUCGGGGAAACCCGAAUUAAUACCGCAUAUACCCUAAGGGGGAAAAAGGGCCUAUCCUUGGAAGCUCUUGCUGUUUGAUGAGCCUGCGUGAGAUUAGUUUGUUGGUGUGGUAAUGGCUCACCAAGACUACGAUCUCUAGCUGGUCUGAGAGGACGAUCAGCCACACUGGGACUGAGACACGGCCCAGACUCCUACGGGAGGCAGCAGUGGGGAAUAUUGGACAAUGGGGGCAACCCUGAUCCAGGCAUGCCGCGUGUGUGAAGAAGGCCUUCGGGUUGUAAAGCACUUUAGGUAAGGAAGAAAAGUUAUUGGUUAAUACCCAAUAACCAUGACAUUACUUACAGAAUAAGGACCGGCUAACUCCGUGCCAGCAGCCGCGGUAAUACGGAGGGUCCAAGCGUUAAUCGGAAUUACUGGGCGUAAAGCGCGCGUAGGCGGUUUGACAAGUUGGGUGUGAAAUCCCCGGGCUUAACCUGGGAACUGCAUUCAAAACUUUUAAACUAGAGUACGGGAGAGGAGAGUAGAAUUCAUGGUGUAGCGGUGAAAUGCGUAGAUAUCAUGAGGAAUACCAAUGGCGAAGGCAACUCUCUGGACCGUAACUGACGCUGAGGUGCGAAAGCGUGGGUAGCAAACAGGAUUAGAUACCCUGGUAGUCCACGCCGUAAACGAUGACAACUAGCCGUUGGACUUUCGAGUUCAGUGGCACAGCUAACGCAUUAAGUUGUCCGCC